CACAUAGUAAAUGAACACUAUAAAAGGAACGCUACAAUACGAACAAAUACACUACUUAGCGGUGCCGUGAAACAAUAAGUACUUGUUAAAGUAAUAUUGAUUAGCAUUAGUACCAUUACUAUAGCCAUUGUAAAGGUUAAACCUUGUAACUGCGUGUACCUCUGGACUCACGGAUCAUGUCUCCAGGUAUCAUUCUAUUUCUGCUUGGAUCAUUGCUACAUAGUGCAAAAGCAGGACUAAAUGAUGGUGAAAUUGCAGGGAUUUCCAUUGGAUCAAUUUUGUUGGUCGCUGUUGUCAUAGUCGGGAUCAUCCUUGCAUGCAGACAUUUCACUUCUUCAGAGCACAACUACGGAGGAGUGUCCAGCGCUAAAUUUGGGAUGAAGAGAAACCAGUCCGACUAGUAGCCUCUAGGGUCACCAUCACUGAAUCACUAAAAAAAACUGUGUUCCCAUUUGUUAGUCGAAAUAUUGAUUUUAUAUGUGUGUGUGUGUGGGGGAGGGCGGAUAAUGGAGUUGAUAAUAAAUAAUUUAAGACAGCAGUUCUCAAACUUUAUUGACGCAAGGACCUCUUUGUAUAGUCAAAGCUUGCCCACGGACCCCUAAGUUACUCGCUCGGAUAAACUUGCUUUUAGCGAAGGAGUUUCUUUAAAUUGUAAACAAUUUUUUUUAUUUAUGCGGACCCCUUUGCUAUAUUCACGAGGGCCCUGGAGGUGUGUGUAGCAUAUCUUGAGAACCACUGCUUUAAUAAUAAUAAUCAUAAUAAUGGGAGACUCUUUCCUAAACAAUUCAAAAUUGAUAUAAUUAGACAGUAUAUAAUUGUGCUGAGAUUCAGUGAUAAUACAAAGAUGAUUGUUUAAAAUCAUAAUCAAUAAAAUUAGAAUAAAAUGAGUAAUUUGUUUCAAUAAAUGAGCAAAAUACCAUCAAUGCUAAUUUAUUUAUUUGUGUGUGUGUAUAUUCUUAAAGAUUAUUUUGUUAUUAUUUGUCCUGGAAGUUAUCAAGACAAAAAUGUUUAUUUUAACAUUGAAUAAUAGAGGCAUGCACUCAGAGGCGUUGCUAGGAUUGGGGGGGGGGGGGAAUUUGAAAAUCCCCGGGAUUGAGAGGGGGGCCUCCAAAUGAGUGUUUUUUUUUAAAUUAAAUAUAAAAUAUUACGCAAAAUAUAAGGACCACCAAAGAGGUCAAGCUUCCCUUGGGUCCCCAGGCUCAUUUCUAGCUACGCCCCUGCAGGCACUAUGUGCAAUUUUGUUUUUAUGUUUUGUUUAUAAAUACGCUUGAGAUUAUAAUGUGAACAAAAGAAUUAAAUGUACACACUUAGAUAUAAACACAAUGUGAACAUGUGUGUGUGUGUGUGUGUGUGUGUGUACGAAGUCAUGUCUUAAAAUUCAGUAUAAAUUACCGGACUUUUAAAAGUCUUUAACUGUGUUUUACUUUUACAAUAAAGAGAACAUUGUACCGACAAA
rnacentral:sRNA from 1 species